rnacentral:lncRNA from 1 species
CUGGGCGCCGCCGGGCGAGUGCAGGUACGCAUGCCAUCUCCUGUGUGCCUGCCUGCUUCAGCCCUGCCACCUGGCCUGCGUCGCAUCCGGGAGAUGUGCUAGCAGGGGAAGAAGCCUGGUAGGGCCCAGGGGAUGUGGGUGGCAACGGAAUUGCUUUCCUCCUGGAUCCCGGUUUAACCACCCUUCCAAAUCAAGCGGAGCUCCUCGGGGGACACCUGCCAGUUGUUGGAGACUUCCCCCUCUGCUGCGGGCGCUCUCUGCAUGCCAGGCCCUAGGUGCAGGGGAGGAGGCCGGGGUAACAAGACCAUUGUCCUGGGUGGGGAACGGAGCAGGACUCCUCUUUCCACCCCAGCGGGAGGGAAAAGCUGCCCUCCCAGCCGCCUGGGCAGCCCCGCUGUCCGCCGCUGCGGUGACAGGGACUUUUGGGGAUCUUCUGCGCCAACUGGGGUACCAUCAGGGCAAUUCCCCCAACCCCGCCUUUCACAAACGAGCUUCCAGAACGCAG